rnacentral:misc_RNA from 1 species
GAUAUAAUCAACGGUUACUUGUUGUGUGUGGCUUUUUGUUUGUGAACGCUGUACGGAAAGCAGCAGCAGCAGCAAUUUAGCAGCUGAAAAACGGUCGAAAAAAGUAAGGCGGCCAAAAAAUAGUAGCCGACCCGAAAUUAUACACACUGUGUACUUAAUUAGUGAGUGAUGCAAGUGGAUCUUUUGUGUUUAACGAAUUGCAAAUAUUUUACGUCAUUUUUAUUAAAUUUUGGUUUAACAAAAAUAAAUUCACUUGAAUAACACACAAUAACGGGAAUACCAAAUUGAGUGUAUAAGAGUGUGCGUGAAAAAGUGCAGCGAAAAAUAAACGAAAAUGUGUACAAUUAGACUAAAGCAGCGCGCUUACUAACCAUAAAUCUAACUAAUAUUAAAAAACAAAUAAUAAAAAAUGCUUGCUAGCUACUUGCAAUAAUAGCAACAAUACAGAUAUAAAAUAAAAAAGUUGUGCAAACCACAAAUUUGCACAAACUUUUUUUCCAGCUUACUGCGCAAGUUUGCGCAAAGUGUUUCAAACACUUACAGUGUAUAAUUGUGCUUAACAAAAUGCAUUAAAAACCGAAAAGUGUUAAAAUUUAAAAUAAAAACAUAAAAUUAAGCGAAAAAUUAAAACUAACAAAAAGUGUUUAUGAAAAAAAAUCAAAAUUAACCACAAUCACCAGUUAAAUGGCAGCUUAUGCGGUGCAACAACAAUAACACCGCAACAACAACAACAAUAGUGCAACAGUGCUUCACUGCUAUUAGCAUAACAAUAAAAAGUGUGCAGUAACAGCAACCAUUAAGCGCAAAGCUGGUUGCUACAUCAAAGUUUACAACAAUAACAAACAGCAACUAACAACAAUUCAUACUAAUGCAUUUAUAGUAGCAGCCUAGUGACGAAAACGAGACAUUAUAUAUUAUUGCUUACAGCAAAGCAUUCUAGUAGAGCCAUCUUUAAAAUCAACAACAACAACAACAGCAAAACUACGCAACAACAAAAUGUUUGCAAUGUGGAGAUACUUUUUAAUCGGACUCACAUUAUCCACACUAACCUCCUCACAGGCAGACGAAUCGCUCGAUACGCGAGAAAAUGCCGAUCUGACAUUGAAAUGUCGCUUCACAGAUCAUUACGAUGCCAAUGAUUUCACAUUCUAUUGGGCGCGUUGGACCGCCAAUCCCGCGCAAUUCGAUAACGUGGCCAUACAUGAUGUCUCGCUGAACUCGGGCUACAAACCCGAUUACCGUCCGAAGCACGGCAUUUACGAUUUGCAAAUUAAAAACGCUUCAUACAUUCGCGACAAUGGACGCUUCGAGUGUCGCAUUAAAGCGAAAGGUACGGGCGCCGAUGUCCAUCAAGAGUUUUACAAUUUAACCGUCCUCACACCACCGCAUCCACCCGUCAUUUCACCUGGUAAUGUGGCCAUUGCCACUGAGGAUGUAAAAAUGGAGCUGACGUGCAGCAGUAUUGGCGGUUCACCGGAUCCAACGAUAACUUGGUAUCGCGAGGGCACCAAUACGCCACUGCACGCCGCCGUACGUUCGGGCGGCUCAAAGGAUCAGCCAACAAAUGCAACACUAACGCUGCAACCGCGUCGCGAAGAUGAUGGCGCCAAAUACAAGUGUAUCGUACGAAAUCGUGCUAUGAAUGAUGGUCAACGAUUGGAAGCCACCGCCACAUUGAAUGUUAACUAUUUUCCCCGCGUCGAUGUUGGUCCGGAAAAUCCACUUCGUGUGGAACGUGAUCGUACUGCCAAAUUGGAGUGUAAUGUCGAUGCUAAGCCCAAAGUGCCUAAUGUGCGUUGGACACGCGAUGGCCGCUUCAUUAGUUCCUCCCUAGUGCAUAGCAUACAGCGUGUUAGCACGCAAGAUGCUGGCAAAUAUACAUGCUCAGCAGAUAAUGGACUCGGCAAAUCGGGUGAGAGUGUACUCAUAUUGGACAUCUUAUAUCCGCCAACCGUCGUUAUUGAGUCGAAAACGCGUGAGGCCGAGGAAGGCGAGACAGUUAAUAUCCGCUGCAAUGUAACCUCAAAUCCGCCGCCAAUUACCAUUGAAUGGUUAAAGGAGGGCUCACCCGAAUUCCGUUACUCCGGCGAAGUGCUCACACUGUCGUCGGUACGUGCCGAACAUGCCGGCAGUUAUAUUUGUCGUGCUGUGAAUAUAAUGGAAUCGUACGGACAAGAACGUAGUGAACGUGUUGGCAACUCAACCGUAGCGCUAUUGGUGCGACAUCGUCCCGGUCAGGCAUUCAUAACACCGAACAAACCGAUUGUACAUGUUGGUAAUGGCGUUACCUUAACCUGUUCGGCUAAUCCACCCGGUUGGCCGGUGCCACAGUAUCGUUGGUUCCGCGACAUGGACGGCGAGUACUCGAGCACACAGAAAGUGCUGGCACAGGGACCACAAUAUUCGAUACCAAAAGCACAUCUCGGUAACGAAGGUAAAUACCAUUGUCAUGCCGUCAACGAAUUGGGUAAUGGUCAAAUAGCCACUAUAGUGCUUGAGAUACAUCAACCACCACAAUUUCUCGCCAAACUACAACAACACAUGACGCGCCGCGUUGCCGAUACCGAUUAUGCAGUCACCUGCAGCGCUAAGGGUAAGCCUGCACCCAGCAUACGCUGGUUGAAGGACGGUGUCGAAAUACUGCCCGAGCUCAAUUUAUACGAAGUUAAGACGAACCCCGAUCAGGGUCCCAACGGCAUGGUGACGGUGCAAAGCAUGCUGAAGUUCCGCGGCAAGGCACGUCCGAACGGCAAUCAGCUAGUGCCCGGCGAUCGUGGCCUGUACACAUGUCUCUACGAAAACGAAGUGAACUCCGCGAAUUCGAGCAUGCAAUUGCGCAUCGAGCAUGAACCGAUUGUCUUGCAUCAAUACAAUAAAGUCGCAUUCGAUAUACGUGAGACUGCUGAGGUCGUAUGCAAAGUGCAAGCUUAUCCCAAACCCGAAUUUCAAUGGCAAUUCGGCAAUAAUCCGUCGCCGCUGACAAUGUCCUCUGAUGGGCAUUAUGAAAUUAGCACGACCACAGAUAACAAUGAUAUCUAUACUUCGGUGCUGCGCAUCAACUCGCUCACACAUGCCGAUUAUGGUGAAUACACUUGUCGUGUUGUGAACUCAUUGGAUACAAUACGCGCACCCAUACGCCUACAACAGAAGGGCCCGCCAGAGAAGCCGACCAACACACGUGCCGUUGAUGUGGGUCCCAAUUAUGUAACGCUCAGCUGGGAUCCCGGCUUCGAUGGUGGUCUAAGCAAUACGAAAUUCUUUGUCAGCUAUCGGCGUGUACCAAUGCCACGUGAAGAACAACUGAUACCCGACUGUGCCACCAUAGCUACCAGCAACACCGAUUGGCUGGAAUUCGAUUGCCAACACGAGAAUCCCUGCAAGGUUACAUCACUGGAUCAACAUCAAAGCUAUGCCUUCAAGGUGAACGCACUCAACACGAAAGGCAACUCACCGUAUUCCAAUGAGAUUAUGACGACCACAAAGGUUAGCAAAAUCCCACCGCCACUACAUGUCACCUACGAUCCGAAUACACAUACAUUGGGCAUAAAUGUGGGCGCCACCUGUCUAUCGUUGGUCGCCAUAGUGGAGUCCAUGGUCAAUAUGGAUACACCGAUGGCGCAGUGGGAAGUUGUCGACACUGUGAAUUUGCAACUCUCCGGCAAUGGACCGACAUUUAAGGAGACCGUGAUUGAUCGCCAUAUACCGGCAUAUCGCAGCGGCGGCGGACGUUCGUUGGGCCACAAUCACAUUGGCGGCCAUGAUGAUGGUGUUGGUGGCGGCGACGAAGAUGACGAUGAGGGUGUCGACAUGAACACGCUGGCGUUGGCCGAUGAUAAUAAACCGACAGUGCGUGUAAAACUAUGCCUGCGUUCAAAUCAAGAGCACUGCGGCAAGCACACAAAUGCGGAGAUUGGCCGCACAUACAUUGCGGAGGCUUCCGCCCUGGCCACACCCACGCUGAUCGCCAUAAUCGUCUCGUGCAUUGUAUUCGCAUUAUUUGUCGGUUUAUUGUUGAUGUUCUGUCGCUGCAAACGCAAUCAAUCGAAAAAGAGUGCCGCCGCCAAGGAUUACGAAAUGGACUCGGUGCGACCAUCAAUUGUUGCCGCCCAACAAAGUCAGCCACCGCCACCAUAUUACCCGGCAAGUGGACUCGAUAACAAAGCACUCGAGCAUUCGAUGGAUCUCGCCUUGGGCAUGGAGGACCAAAAGAGUGCACUUUACGCAACACAAAAUGGCUAUAGCUAUCAUCCGGGUAGCGGUGUCGGUGUUGGUGUUGGUGUCGGUGGCGCCGUUGUUGGCGGUGGUGUCGGCAUGCAAGGCCUAACGGGACACACGUUGCCGGGAAAUGAAUGGGUCAACAUGGGCUAUAUCGAGAACAAUUACUCGAAUUCGAACAAUGGCGGCAGCGUCAAUUCACAAGACUCGCUUUGGCAAGUGAAAAUGCCCGCCGCCACAGGCGGUCAACAAAGUAUGGUCGUACCGGCCACACACAACAACUAUGUUGAACAUCAGCCCACCUAUGGUUAUGAUCCACUGACGCACGGCGGUUAUGGCGCUGUCGAUGAUUAUGCCCCCUAUCCACAUUUGACGGCGACGCCAAGCCAACACGGUGAUGAAUAUCAUAAUUUACGUAAUAGCCAAAAUCCAUCCAGACAGGAUUACUGCAGCGAUCCAUAUGCCUCGGUGCAGAAGCCGAAGAAACGUGUUGAUCAGCAUUUAGAUUCACCAUAUCACGACGUAAGCGGCCUACCCAACCCCUAUAAUAUGGAGCAUAUGGAACAGGAUGAAGUGAUACCACCACAGCAGCACAUGUCACUGAGUUACGAUGACAGUUUCGAGGGUGAAUACUCGUCAACGCCCAAUUCACGGAAUCGUCGUGUCAUACGCGAAAUAAUCGUCUAAUAAAUAAAUAUUCAACAUAAUAGAAAGUGAUGUGAACGGAAACCGUUAUACAAUAGGUAUAAUUUACAAAGUGUGAGGAGGCAGGGGAGAGACAUAUAGAGAGUGUGUGUGUGUCGCGUAAAAGUGCAAAACACGUGCAACUAAGCGAAAAAAAUUAAUUAGAAAAGUAAUGUCUUCGCGUGCAUAAAAGAACGAAACACACGCACACACACACACACACAACCAAGCCAGAAAUAUUUAACGAAAUGUUUUAUAAAUUUUUAUGUGUUAUUUUUAAAAAAAUAAGUAAUAUACAACAUGAACGAAAAAUUUACAAAAGUGGAGUAAAAUCAAAAUGAGCACCGUCAACUUAACAAUACGUGCACACAAAAACCAUACAUACACAUACAUUGUAAAUGCUAGCAAUGCAACGCACACACACACACACACACACAUGAGCAAAUUGGCGCUGAAAUUUCAACAGCAGAAGCCGUUAUGCGAUUUCUCUUGCAAAAUGUUAAAUAAUUGGAGUGCAGCAGUUGCAACGGGUGGCAACAUCGGUUGUAUAUGCAAUGUACAUAUAUGUGGAGCUGGCAACAUACCAAUUAUUUGUAAUGUGCAAUUAUGCUGACG